rnacentral:rRNA from 1 species
CAAUAGCGUAUAUUAAAGUUGUUGCAGUUAAAAAGCUCGUAGUUGGAUUUCUGAAUUGAAUAUCCGGUCCGCUCGUCUCUGAUGAGUGCGUACUUAUGGAUAUUGGAUUCAUUUUUUGUGAGGACAUUUAUCUGUCAUUAAGUUGAUGGAUUUAUAGACUUGCAUCGUUUACUGUGAAAAAAUUAGAGUGUUUAAAGCAGGCGUUCGCCCAUUUGAAUACAUUAGCAUGGAAUAAUAAGAUAUGACUUUGGUGGUCUAUUUUGUUGGUUUGCACACCAGAGUAAUGAUUAAUAGGGACAGUUGGGGGUAUUCAUAUUUCAACGUCAGGGGUGAAAUUCUUAGAUCGUUGAAAGAUGACCUUAGGCGAAAGCAUUUACCAUGGAUGUUUUCAUUAA